rnacentral:rRNA from 1 species
CCUACGGGAGGCAGCAGUGAGGAAUAUUGGUCAAUGGACGAGAGUCUGAACCAGCCAAGUAGCGUGAAGGAUGACUGCCCUAUGGGUUGUAAACUUCUUUUAUAUGGGAAUAAAACGUUCCACGUGUGGGAUUUUGUAUGUACCAUAUGAAUAAGGAUCGGCUAACGCCGUGCCAGCAGCCGCGGUAAUACGGAGGAUCCGAGCGUUAUCCUGAUUUAUUGGGUUUAAAGGGAGCGUAGGUGGAUUGUUAAGUCAGUUGUGAAAGUGUGCGGCUCAACCGUAAAAUUGCAGUUGAAACUGGCAGUCUUGAGUACAGUAGAGGUGGGCGGAAUUCGUGGUGUAGCGGUGAAAUGCUUAGAUAUCACGAAGAACUCCGAUUGCGAAGGCAGUUCACUGGACUGCAACUGACACUGAGGCUCGAAAGUGUGGGUAUCAAACAGGAUUAGAUACCCCUGUAGUC